rnacentral:rRNA from 1 species
AUUGAACGCUGGCGGCAGGCCUAACACAUGCAAGUCGAGCGGAGCGGCGGACGGGUGAGGAAUGCCUAGUAAUCUGCCUGGUAGUGGGGGAUAACGUCCGGAAACGGGCGCUAAUACCGCAUACUAUCAGAUGAGCCUCGGGCGGAUUUGCUCGUUGGUGGGGUAAAGGCCUAGCAAGGCGACGAUCCGUAACUGGUCUGAGAGGAUGAUCAGUCACACUGGAACUGAGACACGGUCCAGACUCCUACGGGAGGCAGCAGUGGGGAAUAUUGGACAAUGGGCGAAAGCCUGAUCCAGCCAUGCCGCGUGUGUGAAGAAGGUCUUCGGGUUGUAAAGCACUUUCAGCGGGGAGGCGUUACCCGCAGAAGAAGCACCGGCUAACUCCGUGCCAGCAGCCGCGGUAAUAC